rnacentral:misc_RNA from 1 species
GAUGAAGAACGUAGCGAAAUGCGAUACGUAAUGUGAAUUGCAGAAUUCAGUGAAUCAUCGAAUCUUUGAACGCAUAUUGCGCUCUCUGGUAUUCCGGAGAGCAUGCUUGUUUGAGUAUCAGUAAACACCUCAACUUCCAUAUCUUUUUUGAAAUGGGAGUUGGACUUGAGUGAUCCCAACGCUUUUCCUCACCGAAAAGUGGCGGGUUACUUGAAAUGCAGGUGCAGCUGGACUUUUCUCUGAGCUAUAAGCAUAUCUAUUUAGUCUGCCUAAAAAACAGAUUAUUGCCUUUGCUGCAGCUAACAUAAAGGAGAUUAGUUCUUGUGCUGACUGAUGCAGGAUUCACAAAGACAGCUUCGGCCGACUUUGUAAACUCGAUCUCAAAUCAAGUAAGACUACCCGCUGAACUUAAGCAUAUCAAUAAGCGGAGGA